rnacentral:rRNA from 1 species
UACGUGGAGGGCAAGCGUUGUUCGGAAUUACUGGGCGUAAAGGGCGCGUAGGCGGCCUGUUAAGUCGAACGUGAAAUCCCUGGGCUCAACCCAGGAACUGCGUCCGAUACUGGCAGGCUUGAAUCCGGGAGAGGGAUGCGGAAUUCCAGGUGUAGCGGUGAAAUGCGUAGAUAUCUGGAGGAAUACCGGUGGCGAAGGCGGCAUCCUGGACCGACAUUGACGCUGAUGAGCGAAAGCUAGGGGGGCAAACGGGG